rnacentral:rRNA from 1 species
AUACGGAGGAUGCGAGCGUUAUCCGGAUUUAUUGGGUUUAAAGGGAGCGUAGGCGGGAUAUUAAGUCAGCUGUGAAAGUUUGGGGCUCAACCUUAAAAUUGCAGUUGAUACUGGUUUCCUUGAGUACGGUACAGGUGGGCGGAAUUCGUGGUGUAGCGGUGAAAUGCUUAGAUAUCACGAAGAACUCCGAUCGCGAAGGCAGCUCACCGGGCCGGAACUGACACUGAUGCUCGAAAGUGCGGGUAUCAAACAGGAUUAGAUACCCUGGUAGUCCGCACAGUAAACGAUGAAUACUCGCUGUUUGCGAUACACAGUAAGCGGCCGAGCGAAAGCGUUAAGUAUUCCACCUGGGGAGUACGCCGGCAACGGUGAAACUCAAAGGAAUUGACGGGG